UACGUAGGGGGCAAGCGUUGUCCGGAAUCAUUGGGCGUAAAGCGCGCGUAGGCGGCCCUGUAAGUCCGUUGUGAAAGUCAAAGGCUCAACCUUUGAAAGCCGAUGGAUACUGCAGGGCUAGAGUCCGGAAGAGGCGAGUGGAAUUCCUGGUGUAGCGGUGGAAUGCGCAGAUAUCAUGAGGAAGACCAGUGGCGAAGGCGGGUCUCUGGACAGUUCCUGACACUGAGGCACGAAGGCCAGGGGAGCAAACGGG
rnacentral:rRNA from 1 species